rnacentral:rRNA from 1 species
GAUACCUUAGUACGGCGAGUGAAGCGGUAAAGCUCAAAUUUGAAAUCUGGUACUUUCAGUGCCCGAGUUGUAAUUUGUAGAAUUUGUCUUUGAUUAGGUCCUUGUCUAUGUUCCUUGGAACAGGACGUCAUAGAGGGUGAGAAUCCCGUUUGGCGAGGAUACCUUUUCUCUGUAAGACUUUUUCGAAGAGUCGAGUUGUUUGGGAAUGCAGCUCAAAGUGGGUGGUAAAUUCCAUCUAAAGCUAAAUAUUGGCGAGAGACCGAUAGCGAACAAGUACAGUGAUGGAAAGAUGAAAAGAACUUUGAAAAGAGAGUGAAAAAGUACGUGAAAUUGUUGAAAGGGAAGGGCAUUUGAUCAGACAUGGUGUUUUUUGCAUGCACUCGCCUCUCGUGGGCUUGGGCCUCUCAAAAAUUUCACUGGGCCAACAUCAAUUCUGGCAGCAGGAUAAAUCAUUAAGAAUGUAGCUACUUCGGUAGUGUUAUAGCUUUUUGGAAUACUGUUAGCCGGGAUUGAGGACUGCGCUUCGGCAAGGAUGUUGGCAUAAUGGUUAAAUGCCGCCCGUCUUGAAACCA